UACGUAGGGCGCAAGCGUUGUCCGGAAUUAUUGGGCGUAAAGAGCGUGUAGGCGCCAGGUAGGUCCGCUGUGAAAGUCCGGAGGCUCAACCUCGGAAUGUCGGCGGAAACCCUCUGGCUAGAGUCCGGAAGAGGAGAGUGGAAUUCCCGGUGUAGCGGUGAAAUGCGCAGAUAUCGGGAAGAACACCCGUGGGCGAAGGCGGCUCUCUGGGACGGUACUGACGCUGAGAC
rnacentral:rRNA from 1 species